rnacentral:rRNA from 1 species
AUGGAUUCCUGGAAGCAGAGACUCGAGAGGAGGGUUCUGGUGAUAGCCAACGGCGACGAAGAGAAGCUGGCGAAGCUGAGGGAGAUCAUCUCCAGGUUCUCGACGGAGAGCAAUCUGAAGGAGGCGGCGGGGUGUGCCUACCGGAGGCUCACCGAGGCGGAGGACUGGCGCCUCACUCCGUCAGGCGAGCCGGUGGGGGCGCUCCGGAUGCUGUUGUGGGCGAUGAAGGAGGCGGAAUCAGACGAUCAGAUGCAGGCCAUGAAGUGGAUCGCGUUUCGUUCGCGUCGCACCGUCCCUGCGGAUCCACCUGGAUUUGUGGUCGGCGCGGUGAUGGGUCUCCCCGCCCCAGCUCCGGUUGUGCCCAGGGCUGCAGUGGUGGAGAGGCGGCCAGAUUUGGGGCGCGCCGAGGGCAGGAGGGGGAUGAAGCUUGGGACGAAGAAGAUCCAGAAGAUGCCGUUGGUUCUGAGGAGGUCACCGCGCUUCCCUCGCCGUUUCCCACGCCUGCUCGGUCUCGCUCGCUCCCAGGGACGGGAGUAG